GUCCACGCCGUAAACGGUGAGUGCUAGACGUCGCGGGUAUUGACCCCCGCGGUGUCGAAGCUAACGCGUUAAGCACUCCGCCUGGGGAGUACGGCCGCAAGGCUAAAACUCAAAGGAAUUGACGGGGGCCCCGCACAAGCGGUGGAGCAUGUGGUUCAAUUCGAAGCAACGCGAAGAACCUUACCUGGGCUUGACAUGUUUGAGAACUUUCUCGAAAGAGAGAGGUGCCCGCAAGGGAGCUCUUUCACAGGUGCUGCAUGGCUGUCGU
rnacentral:rRNA from 1 species